UACGUAGGGUCCAAGCGUUAUCCGGAAUCACUGGGCGUAAAGCGUGCGUAGGUGGCGUGUUAAGUGUGAUGUUAAAUCGUGUGGCUCAACCAUAUCGAUGCAUCACAUACUGGCAUGCUAGAGGGAAGCAGAGGGCAAGUGGAAUUGGUAGUGUAGCAGUGAAAUGCGUAGAUAUUACCAGGAACACCAAUGGCGAAGGCAGCUUGCUGGGCUUCUUCUGACACUGAGGUACGAAAGCGUGGG
rnacentral:rRNA from 1 species